rnacentral:rRNA from 1 species
UUUCGGGUCGUAAAACUCUGUUGUUGGAGAAGAAUGGUCGGCAGAGUAACUGUUGCCGGCGUGACGGUAUCCAACCAGAAAGCCACGGCUAACUACGUGCCAGCAGCCGCGGUAAUACGUAGGUGGCAAGCGUUAUCCGGAUUUAUUGGGCGUAAAGCGAGCGCAGGCGGUUUUUUAAGUCUGAUGUGAAAGCCCUCGGCUUAACCGAGGAAGCGCAUCGGAAACUGGGAAACUUGAGUGCAGAAGAGGACAGUGGAACUCCAUGUGUAGCGGUGAAAUGCGUAGAUAUAUGGAAGAACACCAGUGGCGAAGGCGGCUGUCUGGUCUGUAACUGACGCUGAGGCUCGAAAGCAUGGGUAGCGAACAGGAUUAGAUACCCUGGUAGUCCAUGCCGUAAACGAUGAAUGCUAGGUGUUGGAGGGUUUCCGCCCUUCAGUGCCGCAGCUAACGCAUUAAGCAUUCCGCCUGGGGAGUACGACCGCAAGGUUGAAACUCAAAGGAAUUGACGGGGGCCCGCACAAGCGGUGGAGCAUGUGGUUUAAUUCGAAGCAACGCGAAGAACCUUACCAGGUCUUGACAUCUUUUGAUCACCUGAGAGAUCAGGUUUCCCCUUCGGGGGCAAAAUGACAGGUGGUGCAUGGUUGUCGUCAGCUCGUGUCGUGAGAUGUUGGGUUAAGUCCCGCAACGAGCGCAACCCUUAUGACUAGUUGCCAGCAUUUAGUUGGGCACUCUAGUAAGACUGCCGGUGACAAACCGGAGGAAGGUGGGGAUGACGUCAAAUCAUCAUGCCCCCUUAUGACCUGGGCUACACACGUGCUACAAUGGAUGGUACAACGAGUUGCGAGACCGCGAGGUCAAGCUAAUCUCUUAAAGCCAUUCUCA